CCUACGGAGGGCUGCAGUGGGGAAUAUUGGACAAUGGGGGGAACCCUGAUCCAGCCAUGCCGCGUGUGUGAAGAAGGCCCUCGGGUUGUAAAGCACUUUCAGUGAGGAAGAACGCCUGGUGGUUAAUACCCAUCAGGAAAGACAUCACUCACAGAAGAAGCACCGGCUAACUCCGUGCCAGCAGCCGCGGUAAUACGGAGGGUGCGAGCGUUAAUCGGAAUUACUGGGCGUAAAGCGCGCGUAGGUGGCUUGAUAAGCCGGUUGUGAAAGCCCCGGGCUCAACCUGGGAACGGCAUCCGGAACUGUCAAGCUAGAGUGCAGGAGAGGAAGGUAGAAUUCCCGGUGUAGCGGUGAAAUGCGUAGAGAUCGGGAGGAAUACCAGUGGCGAAGGCGGCCUUCUGGACUGACACUGACACUGAGGUGCGAAAGCGUGGGUAGCAAACAGGAUUAGAUACCCUAGUAGUC
rnacentral:rRNA from 1 species